rnacentral:rRNA from 1 species
AAAUUGAAGAGUUUGAUCAUGGCUCAGAUUGAACGCUGGCGGCAGGCCUAACACAUGCAAGUCGAGCGGUAGCACAGAGAGCUUGCUCUCGGGUGACGAGCGGCGGACGGGUGAGUAAUGUCUGGGAAACUGCCUGAUGGAGGGGGAUAACUACUGGAAACGGUAGCUAAUACCGCAUAACGUCGCAAGACCAAAGUGGGGGACCUUCGGGCCUCAUGCCAUCAGAUGUGCCCAGAUGGGAUUAGCUAGUAGGUGGGGUAACGGCUCACCUAGGCGACGAUCCCUAGCUGGUCUGAGAGGAUGACCAGCCACACUGGAACUGAGACACGGUCCAGACUCCUACGGGAGGCAGCAGUGGGGAAUAUUGCACAAUGGGCGCAAGCCUGAUGCAGCCAUGCCGCGUGUGUGAAGAAGGCCUUCGGGUUGUAAAGCACUUUCAGCGGGGAGGAAGGCGGUGAGGUUAAUAACCUCAUCGAUUGACGUUACCCGCAGAAGAAGCACCGGCUAACUCCGUGCCAGCAGCCGCGGUAAUACGGAGGGUGCAAGCGUUAAUCGGAAUUACUGGGCGUAAAGCGCACGCAGGCGGUCUGUCAAGUCGGAUGUGAAAUCCCCGGGCUCAACCUGGGAACUGCAUUCGAAACUGGCAGGCUAGAGUCUUGUAGAGGGGGGUAGAAUUCCAGGUGUAGCGGUGAAAUGCGUAGAGAUCUGGAGGAAUACCGGUGGCGAAGGCGGCCCCCUGGACAAAGACUGACGCUCAGGUGCGAAAGCGUGGGGAGCAAACAGGAUUAGAUACCCUGGUAGUCCACGCCGUAAACGAUGUCGAUUUGGAGGUUGUGCCCUUGAGGCGUGGCUUCCGGAGCUAACGCGUUAAAUCGACCGCCUGGGGAGUACGGCCGCAAGGUUAAAACUCAAAUGAAUUGACGGGGGCCCGCACAAGCGGUGGAGCAUGUGGUUUAAUUCGAUGCAACGCGAAGAACCUUACCUGGUCU